ACUGGGAUAGCUUGUGGCAUAGCUCCAUGUAAAAGAAUUAAUGCAGGUCUGGGACUGGUGCCUGGAUAAUUCCUUGUUAGCCAGGCCAAUGAGUUGGGCUUUAUGCAUAGGUAAUGUUAGUCCCUGCUGCUAAGUUUCUGGACCUUGUUGGGGUUGCGGUCAUAGUGUGGGACAGACAUGCAUCUGUUCACUUGAAUCCAAAGGCCGGAGCCACAAGGAGAAGCAAAUAGCAUCACAUUUAUUGUGAUAGAAGUACAAUUUUGAAAAUGCUUUCACAAGAGAAAUCAUAGCUAAGAUAUUCACCAGUGAUUACAUGAUUUCAAGUGCUUUCAUUUGCAGGUGCCCUACUAGAUAACAUCCUCAAGAAAUCUUACUUUAUGGAAAUGGAUGCUCAGCAUUUUCAGGUCUAGAUUUCAGCUGUCUCAGGCUCACCAGAUUCCUCAUACAAGCUUGCCAGUGGUCAACACCUUUAGUGAUAUUCAGCUUGAAAACAGGACAGGAACCUGAAAGCAUCAGAAAGAGUUACCUGAAGAAAAUUGUCUUUGUGGAGUCCUGUUCAUGGCUGGAAGAUGUGGGGGAAAUGGCCUCUAAUGGAAGGGAUUCCAUCACCAAUUAUGAUCACGUGCCACCAGCAAGGUGGUAACUCCAGGCUCUCAGGCUCUGCCACUGCCAGCAAGGGGAUGGCUGAUCCUGGCAGCAAAGGCUCAGGCACGGUGAGUCCCUGGAGGUACAGCUAGCAUGACACAGGGGUAUUGGACACUCUGUACAGCAGACUGGGAGACCAUAGCUGUCAAUCUAAAUAAGGAGGUUAUUAAUCUUCAGUGUAUGUAUAUUCUUCCACCCACUGAGUGUUGUUCUUCACUCUACAAAUGACUGAUGACCAAUGUUUUUACUUAAGAGCCAAAAAUCUCAAGGACCAUACCUCAGGACAGGAACCAUACAGUGUUUUGAUGAUGUGACCUCAAAACAUCUAUUAUUCCCACAUGACAAAUUAAACUAGGGUUACCUCAGCCAGCUCAACCUGGAUGGGUGAGAUGCUGAGCAGCAAUCUGAAGCCUACACUUCUUCCACUUUGAAAGUGACAAGUAAAAUACCAGCGGGCCAAGGUGAAAAUGGCUGCAAAACCCUCCUAUCUCCCC
rnacentral:lncRNA from 1 species